UGAAUCAGCAUGUGUGUUAGUGGAAGCGUCUGGAAAGGCGCGCGAUACAGGGUGACAGCCCCGUACACAAAAGCGCACAUGCUGUGAGCUCGAUGAGUAGGGCGGGACACGUGGUAUCCUGUCUGAAUAUGGGGGGACCAUCCUCCAAGGCUAAAUACUCCUGACUGACCGAUAGUGAACCAGUACCGUGAGGGAAAGGCGAAAAGAACCCCGGCGAGGGGAGUGAAAAAGAACCUGAAACCGUGUACGUACAAGCAGUGGGAGCACCCUUUGGGGUGUGACUGCGUACCUUUUGUAUAAUGGGUCAGCGACUUAUAUUCUGUAGCAAGGUUAACCGAAUAGGGGAGCCGGAGGGAAACCGAGUCUUAACCGGGCGUUAAGUUGCAGGGUAUAGACCCGAAACCCGGUGAUCUAGCCAUGGGCAGGUU
rnacentral:rRNA from 1 species